rnacentral:rRNA from 1 species
AACGAACGCUGGCGGCAUGCCUAACACAUGCAAGUCGAACGAAGCCUUCGGGCUUAGUGGCGCACGGGUGCGUAACGCGUAUGCAACCUACCUUAAACAGGGGAAUAGCCUCUCGAAAGAGAGAUUAAUACCGCAUAAUAUAUAUUUAAUGCAUAUUAGAUAUAUUAAACCUACGGGGGUUUAAGAUGGGCAUGCGUGACAUUAGCUAGUUGGUGAGGUAACGGCUCACCAAGGCAACGAUGUCUAGGGGGUCUGAGAGGAUGUCCCCCCACACUGGUACUGAGACACGGACCAGACUCCUACGGGAGGCAGCAGUAGGGAAUAUUGGUCAAUGGGGGCAACCCGUGAACCAGCCAUGCCGCGUGCAGGAAUAAGGCCCUAUGGGUC